rnacentral:lncRNA from 1 species
UUUUCUUCUCUUAUUUUUAUUUUCUUGAUUUUCUAUUUUUAUUGAAUCUUCUCUUUGCUCCUUUGUUUUAAUUUGUUUACAAAUACUUUUAGGCAUUUAAAGUUUCUGAAAAAAUUACUUUAUGUCUCUUAUUUUAUUUCCAACCUUCCAUAAUUUUCUAGGCCAUUUAUUUAGUGUUUUAAAGGGAUUUAUGAAUUUUCUCUUUAAUUUUC